AGCAAUAACCACAGUUACUCAAAAUCUCUCAUGCAAUAUAUAUAUCUGUGUGUGUGUGUGUGUGUGUGUGUGUAUAUAUAUAUACACACACACACACACAUACAUACAUAUAGACACACACAC
rnacentral:miRNA from 11 species